rnacentral:rRNA from 1 species
GACGUAGGGGACGAGCGUUGUCCGGAUUCAUUGGGCGUAAAGCGCGCGCAGGCGGCCAUGUUAGUCGGGUGUGAAAUCCUGGGGCUCAACCCCAGAACCGCACCCGAUACUGCAUGGCUAGAGGCAGGUAGGGGAGAUCGGAAUUCCUGGUGUAGCGGUGAAAUGCGCAGAUAUCAGGAGGAACACCGGUGGCGAAGGCGGAUCUCUGGGCCUGACCUGACGCUCAGGCGCGAAGGCUAGGGGAGCGAACAGG